rnacentral:rRNA from 1 species
AGUGAACGCUGGCGGUAGGCCUAACACAUGCAAGUCGAACGGCAGCACAGUAAGAGCUUGCUCUUACGGGUGGCGAGUGGCGGACGGGUGAGGAAUACAUCGGAAUCUACUUUUUCGUGGGGGAUAACGUAGGGAAACUUACGCUAAUACCGCAUACGACCUACGGCUGAAAGCAGGGGAUCUUCGGACCUUGCGCGAUUGAAUGAGCCGAUGUCGGAUUAGCUAGUUGGCGGGGUAAAGGCCCACCAAGGCGACGAUCCGUAGCUGGUCUGAGAGGAUGAUCAGCCACACUGGAACUGAGACACGGUCCAGACUCCUACGGGAGGCAGCAGUGGGGAAUAUUGGACAAUGGGCGCAAGCCUGAUCCAGCCAUACCGCGUGGGUGAAGAAGGCCUUCGGGUUGUAAAGCCCUUUUGUUGGGAAAGAAAAGCAGCAGGUUAAUACCCCGCUGUUCUGACGGUACCCAAAGAAUAAGCACCGGCUAACUUCGU